GACCACUAUACGAUUAUGCUGCUAGUUUUAGAGGAUAUAAAAUCAAAAAGCACCCUCUCCUUGCUGGCUUCUUCUAUAUAUACCAAACAAAGGCAGGCCAGCAUCACAAAAUAAAAUCAUAAGAGUUUUCAAGGUUUUUGUUCUUCAAACACAAAGACCAAGGACGAAGGAUGAAGGGUGCCAUUUGAAACCACAACACUCCCAGAUUCGUACUAAAUAAAGGUCCCCCAUCUACUAUUGAUGGACACAAGCAAAGCCUACCACAUUUCCUGUGCAUCAAAAUUAGACACUAACUUACUACCAACUCCAUCCUCAACAGAAGAACAUGGAGUUGCAAACCUUCUCCUGCAAUCUGGGCAGUUGGGGAACAGGAACUGCACCAGCACUUGUCAGCCCGCCAUCACUCGAGGCCGUCUCUGAUGUAUCUUCAAAUUUGAUGAACUGCCCAAUCUGGGUGGCUGCCAAGUGUGCAUAGCAAACAGGAGCAACAACAGAAAUAGCAGUAGUACUUCUUUGGUAUACGUAGGAUAGAGAGUGCACUAGUUCUUGCAGGUCAUCUGCAGAAAAACCAACUUCAUCUAACAG
rnacentral:misc_RNA from 1 species